rnacentral:rRNA from 1 species
CACGCCGUAAACGAUGAGUACUAGGUGUAGGGGGUAUCGACCCCCCCUGUGCCGCAGUAAACACAAUAAGUACUCCGCCUGGGAAGUACGAUCGCAAGAUUAAAACUCAAAGGAAUUGACGGGGACCCGCACAAGCAGCGGAGCAUGUGGUUUAAUUCGAAGCAACGCGAAGAACCUUACCAGGUCUUGACAUCCCAGUGACCACUCUAGAGAUAGAGUUUUCCCUUCGGGGACAUUGGUGACAGGUGG